GUAUCGUAUGAGAGAAGAGAUUUGCAUCCUCACUGACAAGGCUAGAAGAGGCUCUGGAGCCGAAAAUAUGAAUAAACUCAUGGCAUUGCCACAUAUUCUGUGCCACAUAACCACUGUUAUUU
ensembl:snRNA